UUUGAUGCUGGCUCAAGAUGAGCGCUGGCGGCGUGCUUACCACAUGCGAGUCUAACGAAGCACAUUUACCGGAUUCUUCGGAAGAUAGUAACUGUGACUGAGUGGCGGACGGGUGAGUAACGCGUGAACAAUCUGCCUCAUACAGGGGGAUAACGCAUCGAAAGAUGUGCUAAUACCGCGUAGGACCACGCUGGGGCAUCCCAGAGAGGUGAAAGGAGCAAUCCGGUAUGAGGUGAGUUCGCGUCUGAUUAGAUAGUUGGUGAGGUAAAGGCUCACCAAGUCAACGAUCAGUAGCCGACCUGAGAGGGUGACCGGCCACAUUGGGACUGAGACACGGCCCAGACUCCUACGGGAGGCAGCAGUGGGGAAUAUUGGGCAAUGGGCGAAAGCCUGACCCAGCAACGCCGCGUGAAGGAAGAAGGUUUUCGGAUCGUAAACUUCUGUCCUGUGUGAAGAGAAGGAGACGGUAGCACAGGAGGAAGCCCCGGCUAACUACGUGCCAGCAGCCGCGGUAAUACGUAGGGGGCGAGCGUUGUCCGGAAUGAUUGGGCGUAAAGGGCGCGUAGGCGGCCAGAUAAGUCUGGAGUGAAAGUCCUGUUUUCAAGAUGGGAAUUGCUUUGGAUACUGUCAGGCUUGAGUGCAGGAGAGGUUAUCGGAAUUCCCGGUGUAGCGGUGAAAUGCGUAGAGAUCGGGAGGAACACCAGUGGCGAAGGCGGGUAACUGGACUGCAACUGACGCUGAGGCGCGAAAGUGUGGGGAGCAAACAGGAUAAGAUACCCUGGUAGUCCACACUGUAAACGAUGACUUCUAGGUGUGCGGGUGGCAGAGCCAUUCGGUGCCGCAGCCAACGCUCUAUGUAGUCCACGCUGGGAGCACGUUCGCAAGAAUGAAAGUCAACGGAAUUGACGGGGACCCGCACUAGCGGGGGAGCAUGUGGUUUUAUUCGAAGCAACGCGAAGAACCUUAUCCGGUCUCGACAUCCCCUCGACCGCAGAGUAAUGUUUGCUUUCUUUCGCGACAGGGGAGACAGGUGGUGCAUGGUUGUCGUCAGCUUGUGUCGUGAGAUGCUGGGUCAAGUCCCGCAAUGAGCGCAACCCCUAUCUUUAGUAGCCAGCAUUUGGGAUGCGAACUCUUGAGAGACUGCCAGGGAUAACCUGGAGGAAGGUGGGGAUGACGUCAAAUCAUCAUGCCCCUUAUGACCAGGGCUACACACGUGCUACAAUGGGGUAAUCAAAGGGAAGCGAUCACGCGAGUGUGAGCAAAUCUCAAAAAUAACGUCUCAGUUCGGAUCUAGUGUGCAACUCGAGUACAUGAAGCCGGAAUCGCUAGUAAUCGCGAAUCAGAAUGUCGCGGUGAAUACGUUCCCGGCUCUUGUACUCACCGCCCGUCA
rnacentral:rRNA from 1 species